rnacentral:misc_RNA from 1 species
UUUUUGAAAUUGUUUUACUUUGUAGGCAGUUUAAUACUACGUUGUAUCUAAUGAAUCAACUCGCGGAUUUGAGAUAAUGAUUUAGGAACCUUAGUUGUUUUUGUCGUAAAUUGACUUAUAUUGGCCAAAAAUAUAACGCCUGAUUUUAAAACUUUGACGUUGUCCUGCCCGGAAAACAGCUACCAAAUUUGAUUGCUUACAUACCGAU